CUUAUAAGUGAUUUUACACACACACACACAGAUACAAAAACACAUGUAAAGUACCCAGCUGGAGUCUGAUGUGCUGCAGGUACACCAUGGCUAGCUGUGGUUGUUGUUAUGAGAAGACUACUUCCUAACUGGUCUGCAUGUCAUUUAUAGCAAAAUUCGCAUUAGUGAAUGUGCACGUAGGCCUUUAGAAGAAAGGGGCUUGAUUCUUCUUCCAGGGUAGAGAUUCAGGCAGGAAGGCAAUAGGAGCCCCUCCCCUGCCCAACCUUCAGGGGUAGAGGCAGCUAAACCGUUGUGGAAGCGCGUGUUGCCUUUUUCCAUCAGAGAGAUGGGGGGAAACUGGGGCCUUGUCUGUACCUCCUAAAAGAGCCCCUCUGCCCUGCAGGUCCCCUUCACCCUUGGCUGUCUGCUCUCAAGGCACUCUGGCUGCUUUCUACCCCUCAUGUUAUCUCCCCGAAGGCCAUCUGCCUUCCUUCCUUUUUAAAAAAAAAUCUUAAUUAUUGUAUUACAUUUAAUCACCAAGUCGUGAGUAAUAAGAUCCUGAAAGGACUGGUGGGGACUCUCCAAGCCAGACUGAAUCUCACAAAGGAAAAAAAAUUAAACAAAACAAGGGAGCCACUCACAGAGCCCCAGACACACACUUACAUACUUUCUCACACAUACACAUACACGCGGAGUCUUAAACACUAAAGAUGUACAAGGAGCACAGGUACCAAACACACAUGCACACACUAGACACAAUACACAAACACACAUGAACACACUAGACACAAUACACACAAACACAUGCACACAGUAGACACGAUACACACAAACACACAUGCACACACUAGACACAAUACACAAACACACAUGAACACACUAGACACAAUACAAACACACAUGAACACUAGACACAAUACACACACUAGACACAAUACAAACACAUGUGAACACACUAGACACAAUACACACAAACACAUGCACACACUAGACACAAUACACACAAACACACAUGCACACACUAGACACAAUACACAAACACAUGCACACACUAGACACAAUACAUACAAACACACAUGAACACACUAGACACAAUACACACACAUGCACACUAGACACAAUACACACACAUGCACACACUAGACAAUACACAAACACACAUGAACACACUAGACACAAUACACACACACUAGACAAUACAAACACGUGAACACACUAGACACAAUACACACAAACACAUGCACACACUAGACACAAUACACAAACACACAUGAACACACUAGACACAAUACACACAAACACACAUGCACACUAGACACAAUACAAACACACAUGAACACACUAGACACAAUACAAACACACAUGCACACACUAGACACCAUACAAACACACAUGCACACACUAGACAUAAUACAUACAAACACACAUGCACACACUAGACAUAAUACAAACACACAUGCACACACUAGACACAAUACAUACAAACACACAUGCACACACUAGACACAAUACACACACAUGCACACACUAGACACAAUACACAAACACACAUGAACACACUAGACACAAUACAUACAAACGCACAUGCACACACUAGACACAAUACACACAUGAACACACUAGAUACAAUACACACAAACACACAUGCACACACUAGACACAAUACACUAUUUCCAAUACAAGUAUCUGCACACACACACAGAUACACAUAUAGCUAAUAAAAAACCCCAACCAAGCAGUGUGCACUCACACACACGAACUUACAGGAGGCCUGACGACUGUAUUUCAAACUUCACCUCCCAACCCAAGUCCAAAAUCUGUCUCCAAUUAUCUGGCCCGUGUUGAGAGCAACAGGAAAUCCAGAGCUGCCUCUGUCUUCUGCGGGAGAUGGCGGGAUUUCAGUCAUCUCUCCAUCGUAGAAAAACAAAAGCCUUCUGGCCUUGCCUCCC
rnacentral:lncRNA from 10 species